rnacentral:lncRNA from 1 species
AGAAAACCCUUGACUACAAUCUCUGACAUUAAACCUCUCUGCAGUCUUUAUCUUGGACAUUUGAGACUCAAGCUGCCACAUUAUGUGAACUAUGGUCAGUAACAUACCAAAUAGUUUUACUCACCAGGGAACAGGCUGAGAUUGAGUAAGUAGCAUGCUAUAGUUCUGAAAUUAACAGUUAUCUUGACAAGAGUUGUUUGUCUUUUUGUCUUUUAAUUGAUGAACACUUAUUGGAUCUCUAGAGAACUGUAAGUGACUUAGGCUAGUUGGUUCAAAAUAGUAGAUUGAGCCACUGAAUUUUAACCCUUUAGUUUUUUUCUCUCCCUGACUCCUAAAAAUUGAACAGAGUGUCUAGUUAUUUUUCUUUUAUUAUAUAGUGUUUCAUGUGUAACACCAUAUUGAUUUUGUUCUUAUGGGAACCAAUGACCUAACGUUUACUUAAAUGUAUUUGUUAAAUACACAUAAAAGAAUGAUUUAAUAUCUUAAUUCACAACAGGCUGGGAUAGGUAGGAAGAGUUUCUCCUGGUAUAUUGAUUUGCAUUUGUAAAUCUCAACCCUGUAACUACGUUUUGAAAUGACAUUUACCAAUUCUGGCACUUUUGUAACAGCAAUGACAAAUAUUUUAUUUGGAAGAGAAAAUGCCAUUUUUGAAAUGUUAUUUUUAUUAGUACUUUUACAUGUGUCAAGAUGUGCUAGUUAUUUGUUGACCUGGUGGCUGUGAACUCAUAAUUUCAUCUUCUUUUCUAGAAGAAAGAAGACCCCCGCCAGCCAAGGGUAACUCUCUGGUGAAGGGGUCAGCAGUGAGCUGUUAGCAGCCAACACUUACAGUGGCUGAUGGAUGGACGCACCCGCCUGGUGAAGGGAAUCUUUGUGGAGCAUCAGAGUCUGCUGCAGUUGGAAAGGGAUACAAUAAAUAUUUCUAAAGUGAUGAAAUGUUAUAUAAGUUGUCUAAGAAAAUUUGAACAGCAGGCUGCGAUGGCCGUAAAGGUGCAGGAACGGCCGAGAGGAGCUAUCCCCCGCCUGAGGCCAGGGGCAGAGGCCUGGAGGAGCAACCCCAUGUGCAAGGAGCGGUGGCUGCGCAGGUGCAGGAGGGCCUAGAGGAGCUAUUCCGCGUUCAAGGUCAGGAGGGGCGGUGGUGAGGAGAUACCCCUCAUCCAAGGUAAGGAGCAGCGGCUGCACUUUGCUGGAGCAGCUGUGAAGAGAUACCCACUUCUAAGGUAAGAGAAACCCAAGUAAGACGGUAGGUGUAGCAAGAGGGCAUCAGAGGGCAGACACACUGAAACCAUAAUCACAGAAAACUAGUCAAUCUAAUCACAGGGACCACAGGCUUGUA